rnacentral:misc_RNA from 1 species
UUGAGUAUUUUACACAUUUAAAUAUGACCAAAGAUGAUGAAGACCCACAGAUGUCAUAAAGAGUUUGGGAUUAUAUAGUCCAUAGGUACUUUAUGACAUGUCCUUUAUAUAUAAGGCACAGAUAUAUGAAUUGUUCCAAGUUUGUUUUGUCCCCAUGAAAAGUAGAGUAUAAACUAUCAUUAAAAUUUUUUGUAAAAUGAAUAGUUUUUAUUUUUAUACCUAUAUCAAAAUACUGUCUUCCGUUUCUUUCCUUUUUUUUUCUCGAUGCAAAUUGUGGAUAUUUAAACAUAUCAAUUUAUCAUUAGUUAUACAUGUAUUCUUAUUGCAACCACUUUUACUGGUUAAACUGAAUUCUAUAAAUAACAUGGGGUUUGGCCAAUUUUAACAUAAUUAGCAUGCAUAUUGAGAUAUUCCACUUCAGCAAUGUUCCAUAUAUUUUUCAUCAGGUGAAUAAAUAAUCAAGUUCUGGAUGCAGGUUAAAAAAAGAUUGAAGACAAAAAAAGUGCCAUAAUAUUUUUUUAUACAAUUAUAUUGAAGUUAUUUAUAUUCAAGCCUAAAACCCACAAAACAUUUUUUUUUCUAGGUUUAAUUCUAAAAAAAAUUCAAAAAUUUGUGACCUCAGAAACGGUUCAUUUGGAUAAUAUUUUCAAUAUGUUUUAUUUUACAUGAAGAUGUUAUAUACCCAGGUCGAUCAUUAUCUACUUGAAGCAUCAUUUCUGAUCUACUGAUGGGAGACUUAUGUGUUAUACUUUUUUUCACAUGUACUGAACAUCUAUACACUUAUUGAAUAAAAUAUAUUUUUAAUCAG